AUUGACCGCUAGCGGCAGGCCUAACACAUGCAAGUCGAGCGGAGCGGCGGACGGGAGAGUAAUGCCUAGGAAUCUGCCUGGUAGUGGGGGAUAACGUACGGAAACGGGCGCUAAUACCGCAUACUAUCAGAUGAGCCUAGGUCGGAUUAGCUAGUUGGUGGGGUAAAGGCCUACAAAGGCGACGAUCCGUAACGGGUCUGAGAGGAUGAUCAGCCACACUGGAACUGAGACACGGUCCAGACUCCUACGGGAGGCAGCAGUGGGGAAUAUUGGACAAUGGGCGAAAGCCUGAGCCAGCCCUGCGGCGUGUAUGAAGAGGGCCUGCGGGUGGUAAGGUACGGUCAGCGGGGAGGCGUUACCCGCAGAAGAAGCACCGGCUAACUCCGUGCCAGCAGCCGCGGUAAUUC
rnacentral:rRNA from 1 species